rnacentral:rRNA from 1 species
UACGUAGGGGCCGAGCGUUGUCCGGAUUCAUUGGGCGUAAAGAGCGUGUAGGCGGCCAGGUAGGUCUGCUGUGAAAACUCGAGGCUCAACCUCGAGCUGUCGGCGGAAACCAUCUGGCUAGAGUCCGGAAGAGGAGAGUGGAAUUCCUGGUGUAGCGGUGAAAUGCGCAGAUAUCAGGAAGAACACCUAUGGCGAAGGCAGCUCUCUGGGACGGUACUGACGCUGAGACGCGAAAGCGUGGGGAGCGAACAGG